rnacentral:rRNA from 1 species
AUGAACGCUGGCGGCGUGCCUAAUACAUGCAAGUCGAGCGAACAGAUGAGGAGCUUGCUCCUCUGACGUUAGCGGCGGACGGGUGAGUAACACGUGGAUAACCUACCUAUAAGACUGGGAUAACUUCGGGAAACCGGAGCUAAUACCGGAUAAUAUAUUGAACCGCAUGGUUCAAUAGUGAAAGACGGUUUUGCUGUCACUUAUAGAUGGAUCCGCGCCGCAUUAGCUAGUUGGUAAGGUAACGGCUUACCAAGGCAACGAUGCGUAGCCGACCUGAGAGGGUGAUCGGCCACACCGGAACUGAGACACGGUCCAGACUCCUACGGGAGGCAGCAGUAGGGAAUCUUCCGCAAUGGGCGAAAGCCUGACGGAGCAACGCCGCGUGAGUGAUGAAGGUCUUCGGAUCGUAAAACUCUGUUAUUAGGGAAGAACAAAUGUGUAAGUAACUAUGCACGUCUUGACGGUACCUAAUCAGAAAGCCACGGCUAACUACGUG